rnacentral:lncRNA from 1 species
UGUGCUUUUGAGGUGAAAAAUAUUCAUAAGAAUCACUUAGGACAAAUUUGAGCUUGGGGCCUUUGAUUUGUCCAAAGUUUGGUAUUUGAUUCUACAAGGAUCUACUUUAAACAUGUAUAACUUUUGAUACACAUGGAAUUUUUAAGCUCAAGGCCCACCAAAUUGUAGAUAAUUGAAUAAGUUUUUCAACUAUACCAAAUUUCACCUUAAUCCGAUACCCGAGAGAAAAGUUAUGGCCUUUUCUGUGAGAGGCAUUAACUGGAGGUGAUAUGCCCACGCCGUGGGCCUUACAACACCGCUCUAGAGGGGGCGUCGCAGACUCUAUCACCCUGGACUGAAAAUCACGUCACUUUGUCCAUUCCUUCACGUUUUCAACAUCUUAAGGGUCAAGGGGCACUUUGGUCCUUUUCCCCUUAACCCUAAACGUCCAAGGGACGAUUUAAAGCAUCCAAAAGAGCAUUAUUUUCCCAUAUUCUUCAAGAUUUGCUCUCAAGAAACCCUCAUUCUUUCCCAAGGAUAAUUCAAGCUUCAAAGUAAAGGAUUCAAGCUCUUAUUUUCAAGAAACCCUCAAGAAAUAUCCAAGAAAUCGUCUAAUUAAGGUAUGUGGGAGUUCAUCCAUGGGUCCCUUUCACCCAUGGAGCCCAAAAACCCUCUUUUCAAUUAAAGAAUGAAAUUUUAUUCUUAUUAUGGAGUUUUGUAUGUUUAAGAAAGAUUUAGUUUCAUGAUUUGAUAGUGUUUUUAAUUCAAUUCAGUCCUCGUAUGAUUCCAUGCAAGAUGUUGAAUUCCUCAUGCCAUGAAUUUGAGUUUUCCAUGCUUCAUUCAAGUGAAUUCUGUGAUAGAUCCUAAAUUCAUGAUUUUUAGCAUCAUUUCCAUAUUUCAAAUUCAUGCUUUCCACAUGAAUUUCAACAUGUGAUGAUGAAACGCCCAUGUCCUAUUGAUGGGGAUUUUAGAUUUCGGCAACUUAGUAGGGAUUUUAACUAAGUCUAAACAAAAUUAAUAAGCAAAUAAACACAUAAAAGGGAAAGGGAGGAGAAAGUAAAAGAUUUAGGCCAUUGGUCCAAAUCAACGAGACCUAUCCUAGUCUAAUUAGGCCUUUGACCCAUUUUACCUGUCCUAGUUUAGUUUUUGAGCCCUUGGCUCGAGUUAGUUCCACCUGUAUUAACUACAACUUUGGCUUCGAAGCCCAAAUGAAAUGAAUAAAUAAAAUAAAUAAAUAAAUAAAUAAAGACAAUAAUAAAUAAAUGAAUAAAUAAGCUGAAAAAAUGAGACUUUCAAGUCUCUUGGCUGCUUUAGAGAUGGAUUUUUUAACCCAUUCUUCUUCUUUUGACUCCUUGCAUUCAUGCGCUAUGUAGUUGAUUUCGAACUUAUUCUAAAUCUUGACUUGAGAGGACGGGCCCCAUUGGCCAUGAGGAAUGCAAGGCAAACUUGAGUCCAUUUGGACUCCAAGGCAAGUUCAUGCAAAGAGAAAGUAUAAAGAAUCAAUACUCAUUUCAAAUUGCCAGCUUAACAUCAUAGAGGACUUAUGAUAGUGUAAAGGAUAUACAAGCAACGAAUGCAGGAAGAAGCAUAUGGUCACAGAAACUCAAGUUCGUAAAAAAAAGAUGGCUAUGAAGAAAAGCCUCAUAAUUUCGAGCAAGUGCAGUCAAAUAGCUACAUUUUAUCACUACAUAAAUAUUUAGCUAAGCAGGGACAUUGACUGAACGCCUUAAAGAUUUAACAAAAGAGAGGGGAAGUUGAUAAAUAAUAAUACAAAGGAUCAAAGAAGAAGUAAGAUAUAAAUUAAUAAAACCCUAUGUUCCAAGAAUUAUUAUUCGUAUUUAAUUUUAUACUACUAUACAGUAAACUAAAGGAAAAAGCGGUGAUUGAUUGCACGUCUUCAGAAAAUUUUAAUGAAUCCUAACCAAAUAAGGGAAACAAAAAGGAGGGAGUGGGAACAUAUAUCCAUGGUAUUCAUUUGAGGCUAAACAUUCGCACCAAAAUAAACAUCACAUAAUUUAAGAGAUCAGUCUUGUUGCAUCAGUAUAUUUAUUUAGACAAAGUGAAGACGAGCAGAAAAAGUUAUUUGAUUUAGCAUAUCUUAUGGUUAAAGACUUAACGAAUACUCCCUCCGUUUCAAAAAGAAUGACCUACUUUCCUUUUUAGUCCGUUUCAAAAAGAAUGACCCCUUUCCUUUUUUGGCAAUACUUUAAUUUCAACUUUCCACCUGGCAUGUUUAGGACCACAAGAUUAAAAGAUAUUUUGGUACAUUGGACACAACUUUAAUUUAAGGCCACAAAAUUCAAAAGUCUUCUUUAUUUUCUUAAACUUUGUGCCAAAUCAAAGUAGGUCAUUCUUUUUUAAACGGAGGAAGUAUCAUCAGAUUAUCAUAUAGAGAGAAAAAAGAGGGGUGAGAAUAUGCGUAGACAAGUAGAUUUUCUUAGGCAAGCGCUUUAAACAUGGUAACAAAGUCACCAUAUUCAAGCUACCUUUACAACCUAAAUUGUAGGAAUACACCAGUUGCCAAAGCUUUAGAAUCGGAAAGACUAAACAAAUCCAAUCAACAAAUCGACGUUUUACAAACUCAUAGUAAGAUAAAACACCUAUCUAACCUCGAGAACACUUCACUACUUUACCAAAGAUCAGUUCCCCAAAAAAAGAAGAAAUUCUCCACAUUCAAAUCAAAACAAGACUAUGACUUCAUUUUGGUAAACGAAAAUGGAAAAAAGAAGGAACAGGUAUUUCAAACCCAACUCAAUUGGAGCAAUCGUCAAAAAUCAAACACAAAGAAAUAGGCGAAAAAGGACAAACUUAUGAUCAUAAAAGAAUGACAUUUCGAAAAGAAAAAAUUCUUUCCUGUAGAGAUUGCUAACAAAAUUAAUCAAGAGAGAAAUAAAUCGCACUUAAGGACACAUAUCCUAAUGGAUUAGCUAUGUAAAUUUCAAUAGACAACAAAAAAUAGGACAUCCAAAAGCUGAUUACAAUCAAUCAGCAAAGUAAAACAGGUAAUUUACACUAUUUUACACCCUCAAACAUGAAUCCAACAGUAAAAGAAAGACAGGCUAGCAUAGAGAUCAAAUAGCAAAUUGACUGCAGCAAAACUAUUACAUUUCAGCGCACAUAGAUCCUAUGCCUUUCAAGGCUUCUACAGCUACUCCCAGCAAAUAACAUCAUCGAAACAUAACUACAGAACAAUGAGACGAAGUAUAACUAAUCGAAACUAAAUGAAAUAGAAUGUUACCUGUUCGGGGGCAGCAAAAUAGGAUCACGAGCUUCCUCGGGAUCAACUUUCACCGGAAAAUAUUUUUAUUGACUCGAAAUCUUCGAUUAGAUAAUGAAUUUCACGAAACAAAAUUUUUACUCAAAGAAUCGACUGUUCUUUUGCUCAAAAGGUUACUCCCCUCUUUUCAGACCCAAAAAAAUUUAGAACCCCAAUAUUUUGCCACCCACGAAACAAUGAACCCUCCCCCUUUUAUAGAAAACCAACUCAAAAACGAUUGGGGGGGGGGGACUUCAAAUUGGGGAAUUUUAAAUUUUAACUCAAAAUUCAACUAUGGUCCACAAAUUGUUCCUAUUUUCUUGUUUUAUUCUUAAAAUUUUGAAAUUGGUGGACCAAUAAGAUUUAGGGAAAACAAAUUUUUCCCCAAACCAAUGAAAUCAUAACAUAAAUGUACGAAAUUGUACCCCUAUACCUGAGAUUCAUGGAAUUGAGCCAUUGGGGGAGACACCUGGAGUAAUUCUAGAAGAUUCUCAAUCUUUUCUUGUCAUUAUCACGUGAGACACGUGGGCAAUCGAUUCGGUUGGAGCCGGGUCAGAGCUAGCGGGUUGAGAUUAAAGCUGUUUUGGUGUUGGUUUGUUUGCGAUUUGGAAUCAUUGUUAUUGAGAUUGUUGGUUGUUCGAUGCUUUUUUUGUUUGAUGUUUACUGAAGGCUGGUGUUUGUACGGGUGUUGAAGGAGAAAGGGGUCCAUGGUAGGCUAGCCGGGUCGGAUCGACUAUUGGGCCAAAGGGUUAGGUCUGUUUUAAUGUUGGGCUGGUGAUUUGGGGCUGAAAUUAUUGGUUUGAGGGUUAUUUAAAACAUAUCCCCCAAUUGAUUUAAGAUGUAGCCUAAUUUUAUUAAUAUUUCGAUCAAAUUGAAAAUUAAAUUGGUCAAAUUGCAUUGUGAUUGUUGCCAAUUGAUUUCAAUUAUGAUCGAAUUAAAUAAAUUUGACUAAAUUGAAUCAAGAUACGAAUUAAUACCUCGUUUAAUCUCGAGCUUCUUAAUUUAAUAAAAUCAACUAAAUAUUUUUUAAAUAAAUUAUUUUCAAUAAUAAAUUAUAUUUAAGUCAAAAUUUUAAUUAUUUAAAUUUAUUUUCCAAAUAAUCCUUAAUUUGAAGUUCAAUUUUGAUGAAAAUGUUCAUUUAAAUGAUAUCAUCUAUACAAUCUCGUAUAUGUAAAUACGAAAAUAUAUAAUUAUCACUUAAAUACCAAAUUUAGCCCAAAUAAAUAUUUUAAACUACAUUUAUUUGAAAAAAAUAAUUGUUGUGAUUUUAUUUGAAAAUCGAAGCAACUCGAGAUUAAACAUAGUUGUGGAGGGCAAAAAUUAGGUGUCAACAACCCUCAUGUCCUAUUUCAAGAGAAUUUUAUGUAAAUCCCCAAUUCAUGAUUUUAGUUAUGUAAUCAUGUCAUACUUCCAUGUUUAAGAUAUUCCCAUGCACAAGUUUAUGGUCCCCAUGUGUUUGAUGAAAUGCCGAAGUGAUGGGUUUCUUUGAAUAAUGCUUUCUUAUUAUGUUUCCGAAGCUUUAGUAUGUCCCUGUUGUUAUUGCUAUCGAGUCUUGGGGGUUAUGAAUACCCAAAAACUUAGUUGUUUACCUAGUUUUAGUAUUUUCAGAAUAUUUUCAGAUAACCAUGAGUCUUGUCAUCCAGUUAGUCAUCAUAAUUAGUUUAAAGGUUAAUAAUUACCUCAAAAUCUGUAAGUACUGUUGUUUUUAAAAUACCAUGACUUGAGCUUAUCAGUUAUUAGUUAUAAGUGCAUGCACCAGUUAGUAAUCCGUGUCAAUUCAGUUGGGAGUAGGAUUCAACACCGAGCAAAACCAGGGAUGGGGCAUUCAUGCCAGCAUGGGGUUUGACCCUUAGUAGCAAUCCCUGAGUUACAGAACUAUGUAGCCGCGUCGGUUUAAGAUGUCUUCUUACCAGUUUAGGGUUGACACAUAUCUCAGGAGUUUCCUGCUAGUAUGGGGUUACUCUUUAGUCCUUAGAACUUUAUUUUAGUGGAUCUACAUAGCCAAUGUUAGUACCCAUGACACGGUAUUGACACCCUUCCAACUGGAGUUACAGGUUGGAUCUCGAUUAGCUUAGAAUGGGGCAUUUUGGUUAGAUAAUAUCUCCCAUAUUCUCAGUUCAAUAUUCAAUUUCAGAGUUCAGUUUCAUGUUUGCUUGACUAAGUGUACAGACUUUCAGACACUCAAUUUUUACAACUUUCUUUUUUUCAAAUUAUAGAUUAUCUCAGUACCAUAAUAGAUAUACACUUAGUCCUGCAUUCUUAGAUAAUAUAGUUUUCAUGCAUUCCUACUCAAUUAUAUGAUGUUAUUCUGUUAUUCCUUAUCUCAUAUACUUAGUAUUCCAUAGUUUCAGCCCAGUUAUUCAAACUAACUACAAUUCAGUAUUACGUGAUCAGUAUUUAGUCAUUAACUAUUCAGUGUCUGAAUAUCAGUACUUCAUAUUCAUAUAUCAGCUACUCAGUAUAUAGGUACUAGUUACCCUCUUUAAUUAGAGUUUAAUCAUUUCGUACCCCAGACAUCAAUUAUUCAAUUAAUCAGAUCAGCUUAGUACAUGUAUGUUUGGUCUUAUAUAUUCAUUUAUCCAUGAUUUAUCGGAUCCCAGCUUUAGUUCUACUUAUUUUGGAAAAGUAAAUAUUUCAAACUAAGUAUAGUGAUUCACCAGCUUACCAGCUUAUGUUUGUUGCUCAUGCUUUUAAGAUAAUUCAACUUUCAGUUUAUUCCAUCUUAUUGGUGAGUCUACUUACACUUAGCAUUCAUGUUUUAAGAUUAAGUAUGAAAUCAGUUUUACUUAUUGUAUUCACCCCUGUAUACUCAAUACAUUCCAGAAGUACUGAUCCACAUAUAAUGUCUGUGUGCUACAUUGUCUCAGAAUAUAGGUACCAAUUAUAACCUACGCAUCAUGAUCAGACAGUUGCAGUUUUCAGCCAGCAGGUGAUGAGUUCUCUUAUUUCAAAAACUCCAGACAAUUUUAUUUAAUAUACAAUUCAUUUAUUUUUCAUAUGUCUUGAUUAGUGGUAGUUAGAGGCAUGUCCCAGCUAUCUAUAGUCAGUAUAGUAGAGGCUUCAUAGAUGUCAGUCAGAGUCAUUCAUGUAAUGUCAGUUUCUUCCUUCAGGUUUAUCAAAUUGUAAAACUUUAUUAGUUACAUAAUAUUUUGGAUUUUUAGUAUGAUUAUGUUUCUACAUAACAGAACUUGUUAUUUAAUGUAUUAUAAUUUAGUUGCUUAAUAGUAUGCCAGUUCAUGGUAGCUUGGAAUUACUUGUGGUUCCAAGUAUCGUAUGGCAUCCAGGGUAUACUCUCAGGGCAUUACAUGAGUCCUAUGUGAUGUUAAUAGCCCUAUAUACAUAUGAAUAAUUGUACUGUAUUGUCGAAAUACCUAAUAUGGUACCAUUGCUGUAUUGUGAUAUAUUCAUACUUGUUGGUAUAUGAGACAUGUGAAAUUCAUGGAUGAAACAGAAAUAAUGAGUGGAUAUAACUCACAUGGUUGUGAAAUACAUCAUGUAGUUUGGGUGUGGAAAUAAAUCAUGUGGAUUGGUUGUGAAAAUACUCAUUUUGAAUGGUUGUGAACAUUGUGUCAUCAUACACAUCAUUUCACUUGUUCAUUUUACUGCUUUUAUAUAUACUUGUUAUCAUGUAUGUGUACUUGAUUUAUGUCUUAUGUUAUAUGUGUACUUUAAAAAUAUUGGAAACAUUGAAAUACUAGAUAUUGGUAUCGGAUAUUGGAUUUUAUGGACCAUCUUGAGGUUGUGCGCCAAACUUAAGGCUAUAUGUCAAACUUGAGGCUGUGUGCCAAACUUAAGUUUGUGUGCCAAACUUGAAGUUGUGUGCCAAACUUGAAGUUAUGUGCCAAACUCAAGGUUAUAUACCAAUAUCAUGCAUUAUCAUCAUCAUUAUCAUAUACAUUAUACCCACUUUAUUGUUGUUAUGUUGUGUUUGAAUUACCAUAUUGACUUGUCAUCUACCUAUUUUUUCUAUAUCUUGACUUGUAAACAUCUAAUUGUUCUAUCUUCCUAUAAUUGUAGUUGAUGAUCUUGAUUAUACAUGUCCCUCUUUUUUAUCUACUUGUAUGUGAUAUUGUGUAUAUUUGUAGCUCUAUCUUGUGUGUUGUUGUAUUAUAUAUGGAUAUUAUAAAAUUUUUAAUGCAAGCGGUGUGGGCUACCAUUGUGGGAUAUUUUCUAAUUGCAGGUGAUGUGCCCUUAGUAUGUAUUUUUAUGCUUUAUUUUCUAUUUUGUUUGGUCGGCCUAUGAUACCUACUGAGUACAAGUAGACCAUUCUCAUGCCUAUUGCUUUUUUUUGGUGCAGGUCUUAGCUCGAGUGCGCCUCAACUUGCUUAACUCGGGCGAUUGUUGGAGCUUCCAAGGUAGCGGUUGGACAUUCAUGCGUCUGAAGUUUACCUCUAUCUUUCUAUAGUAGUUAUGUCUUUAUUAGUAUUUGGAGAUAGAUAUUAUUCCUUUGUGGUUAUUUUUCUAAAGUAUUUGACUCUCAGAUUGUAUUAGUAGUUCUUACAAUAUUGACACCUGGUUUUUGGGCAUGAUUGGUAUUUUGGAUAAGUUCUUUCCACAUUGUUAUGAUUACUUGUAUGGUUCGGCUUCAUUCUAGAAGCCUUACUUUGGGGUAUUUCUGUCUUUUUUUUUGUUGUAUCAGUUUGGGUGAUAGGCUUACUUGUCAAGGUACACUGCGACAAGUGUUAUCAUGACCCUCAUUUUUUAGGGUCGUGACACUCUAGGUGUGAACCUUUAAAAGUGUUCUGGCUCUGAUACCAAUUAUUGAAACCCUUGCGGGUUGCACCGCACAAUGAAGGGCCAGGUUCCACUAAGUCAAUCACAGACAAUCAAACAAUAAAGUGCAGGAAAAUAACAACACACGGUAUUUUAACGUGAAAACCACCUUGCUUAAGGGAGGAAAAACCAUGGCUUGCCCUCAUAAGAACCUCAAAAGUUCACUAUAAUCAAUCUCUUGAUUACAGACUCGAACUUAAACCUAACUCUAGGUUCCCCUCACUUGUAAUACCUAUACUACAAACUCAUCUUGACAACUCUAUCAAGGCCCUCUCUAAACUAAUUAACUCUAAUCAGUAUCAAACUUAGGCAACUCUACCUAAGCACUCUCUAAACAAAGAGAAAAUUUCAUUACUCUUAUAUCAUGAGUAAUUCGAUCACAAAUCAAGACUCAAUCAAGACACUCUCUAAUUCAGCACACACAUAUGACAAAAGAGCUUGAGCAAUAUCAUAUGGAGUUUUUGCCUUUAUCUCUCUCCAACACUCUUUUUGUAUUUACAAAAAUCAUUUGAUGAAGAAGCAUUUUUUUCUUUUAUAGAUGAGUGAUGAUCAGGUCUGAAAUGUCAUUGGGCCAGGUUUCCUAAUUCCUGCUAGUUUGUUACAUAAACAGCCAAAGCUGUGCAGACGCAUUCCAACUGUACUGUUGCUUCGAACAUCCAGGGACUUGGUCCCUUGUAGUCAUCUGCUCAUCAUCAAAACUACAUAACAUUUUCAUAUAUAUAUAUAUAUAUAUAUAUAUAUAAAUUAUAAGAAAAAUAUGUAUUGUAUUUAUAUAUAUAUAACGAGGAAACAAAAGAACUAAACCAAUUUUCUCCUUUGUACUCCUAUUCAUUCUCUUUUUAAUCUUUAUUAAAAAGGAUUAUAUAAUUUAUGUGAUACACAAGCAAUAUAAUAGAGAAGGAUAUAUUUAGUAAUGAAAAAUUUAAGAUGAUAUCACACGCCAUGUUAUAGAGUAGCCGUAUAAAAUUCAGCGUGGUGGUAAAAAGUUUUUAUAUCCAGAGGAUAAAUGUAAUAAAAUCGAUAAUGGUGAGAUGAAUGUGCUGAUACUUUUGGUUAGAUAAAAUUGAUAAAUUAAUGAAAUUAUUUGGAAAAGAUGAGGGUGACUUUUAUGGUGAAUGGGAUGGAGAAGGUGAGACUGCCACAUUGAUCCUAAGUUUCUUCUCUUUUUCUGUUAUUGAUCAUUAGCAUUAUUAUUGAAUUUAUUGACUGUAUUCUUCAUAUUAUUUAUUUUCUAGAAACUUUUUAAUUUUAAUAUUUUUGUUUUUAUAUGCAGAUGAUGAGUGAUGAUCAUACUACAAACUAAUUAUUUUUGCUACUAUAUCCAAACCCAAAUUCAAGUCAGUGAUAAUUUUUAUUCUAAUUUGUUCUUUUGAAUUUUGAUGAAAAUAAAUACAUUCAAUUCUGUAAAUAAAAAAUAAAAUCACCUCUUAUUGAGAAUUUUAUUCAAGCAUUUAUCUUUCAAAUGUUAGCUCCUAAGUUAUGGUAGUUUUAUGGAAAAGAAUUAUUAAAAAUAUGAAUAUAUGGAAAAUUCUGUUAAAGUAUCAAUUAGUAAUCAACUAAAAUUCUACUUAUUAAUUUCCUUUUGUGACCUAAAAACCCAAAAAUAAUCUUUAGUACAGACACUUUCCUGCGUUUUCUUCUUCGAGGUGGAAGAAAUUCAAUUUUUGCAUGAUUUGUUAGCUGAUUUGCUUUCAUAUCGGGCGCGUUAAUUUGCUUUCUCUCGAUCGAUUCACUGUUGAUGAGUUAGGUAAUUGCUUAUUGGAUCAAGCCUAUUUAUUUAACCUUUUUAUAAUUGAAUGUUAUGCUGAUGUAAUCCAAUUAUUUUGUUGUUGCACGUACUUAAUUAAUUCAUGUAAAUGGUUUUUAAGAUUCGGUUAUUGCUACGUAUAUGUUUAUGUUCACACUGAUUGACAAGUACAAACAAGCAACAGUUUGGUCAUGUUUUUAUACACAAGACUGCUUUGGAAUUCGUUGUUUAAUUACCACAGCUGAGAUUUUAGCCGUUAUUCUGUUUAGCAAUAUUUAAUUUUCCAGAGAUCUGUAACUGAAUUUGUUUUUCGUUUUGAUUUGGUUACUCAUAUUAAAAGAUUUGAUUUUUCUGCAUCGAAAGAGGUAGGUCCGUUGAAAAGUAUGGAUGUGAAUUAUUUUGUUUCUGCAUGUCUACGUGAUCGAUGAGAACUUUUUUGUUUGGUGUGAGUCAUAUGAUUCAUGCCUCGAUUGAAUUUUGUUCCUGGGGUGGAUUGUUAAUUUCAGGCAUUUAGCAGUUGAAAUGGCAUCACAAGAUGGUUGAAGGGAAGAGUGAAAGUCGUUUCCUCUUGUGACAGUUUGGUGAUCAUGGGAAAUUCCAAGGCUGAAAUUCCACUUGAAAAGUCUAUUAUCUUAGGAUCUCUAAUGGCUCCACGAUUGGUAUGACAUGCAUUAAUAAACAUUACUUUGUUUAUUUAGUCAUGAGAUAGAAAAUCCAUCACCGCCUGAUAUGGUAGAUGAUGUAUUGACAAACUCCAUUAUAUGAUGGAGUAAUAAUAGUAAUAGUUUCGUCGCCUGAAAUGUACCUGAAUUUUUCAAAGACAUUUUGUCCAAAGUAUUGUAGGCAUAAUAAUUUUUCCAUCUUUAUUAGACAGUUGAAUACUUAUGUUUAUUUUAUAACGUUUGAUAUCAAGAAAAUUAUUGUCAUGAAAAAGAUAUAAAUUUUAUAAUAUGUGAAUUAUAAUGUAGUUUAUUUCCUUUAAGUUUAUUUUUGAAAGUCGCGGAUUAAGGUAGAAUGUAUCGUAGCUUUUAUGUUUAAUUUAGUUCUAAUAUUUGUUUUUGAAAGAUUCCGAUUCAAGUAAAGUUGAAUUUGCGUAAUUAUUUAUUAAAAUUGCUUAUAAUAAUAGAAAAUUUGAUUUCUUAUUCGAGGAGAGAGCAAAGUGCAUGCAUAUUUUACCUCUACCUCAAACAUGUAAAGUUGAGUUUGCAUAGUUAUAAUUUAAAAUUGUUUAUAAUGAUAAAAUACUUGAUAUUCUAUUUAAGGAGAAAGCAAAGUGCACACGAAUCUUAUCUCUAGUUCACGGAGUAAAGAGAUUAUUUUCAAAAUAUUCUAGCUAAGGUAAACUUUGAAUUUGUGUAGUUUUAUCUUAAAAUUAUUUAUAAUGAUAUUAACUUUAGUAUUCUAUUCCACCUAUCUGUGGUAUAAAUUUCUCAGCUGGUGUACUUUGUUUAGGAUCAUAGAUAUUUCGACGCUUUAUAUAUAUUGUCAGAUAAAUUUUAUUUCUCGAAGACUCAACUUGAGCAAGCUCGAUUUGUAUGAAAUUAGUUUAUAUCUGUUCUAUCACCUUUAAAAUUACUUUGUUACAAAUAGUCGUUCUAAAAGGAAAUGCAUCUUUAAUUACUUUAUCAAACGAUCAAUCAAAUUGACCUAAUCCUGUAUUAUUCACGUCGACUCUAUAGUUCCUCUGUAUUCAUUCUGCUUUAUUUGACUGAUAUAUAUGAUUUAAUUACAUCAUACACUUGAUAUCGCUUUUGCAUUGAAAUUUCAGAAUUUGUAAUUUCUAUAGGUUUUGGAGUAGAUCAGAGUGAGAUUAGAGUCAAAUAUGAUUAUGAAAUGCAACAAGGACAUAUUGUUGACAUGUGUUUCAUAAGGGAGUAGUAUAACUAAGAACCUUUUUAUCUCUGUGAUAUUCAGGGAUAUGGAUCUCUUUUUAACCAAUCUUCAUUUGCAUAUAUGUUAUUAUUUAUUUUUAAAAAGUCUCGUUAAAUUGAUUGUUCAGGAGAAUGUAGCACUACAAAACUGAUUGUCCUUGGGUGUUGGAACAUAUAAGCUAUGCACUGCAAGAUUAAUGUUGGAACUUAUUCUCUGAGAAUCCUUAAAAAGAGUUUUGUCUCAAAAUUGUUUUUCAAAUUUAUUGAUCAAAUACAAAUUAAUUCUAAUCAAAGGUACUUUUUUAAAAAGUACUUUUACAAAAAAUAUUUUUUAAAAAAUAAAUUAAUUUUAUAAAUUUGAUCAAAUAAGUUAUUAAUUUGUAUGAUAGUAUUUUUAUUGAUAGAUUUUUUGUUCAUUGUAUACAUGAAACAGGAGACCUAACAAAUAUGGUAGGAGGAAGAUAUAGGUGGGUUUUUUUUUCUGAGUCAAGGAUUUAAUUCGCAGAUUUGAUCAUACUUUAAUACUUCAAUUUAAGUGAGACCAUCAUUAAUUUGAAAAUUCAGAUUCGCCUGUAAUUGUAUUUUGAUUUCAAUUUUUAAUUGAUCCAGUGAACUCAAACCAAUCUAAGAGCUUGAACCCGAACAAGAUUUCAGAUGGAGUUCUUGAUUUUUGUAGCUUCAAAUUAUUUCUUUAGAUCACAUUGAACAAAAUUAUUUUUUAAUUAUUUUGCUAAUAUUGAAAAUUUCAAGUCAACUAAUUAUAACUGUUAAACACAUCCUCAUUAGUUAAACUACGUAAGAAGUUGUAACAUUGUAAAAGAUAAAAUAACUUUUUCAUGUUUAGUUUUGUAAAAGUUGUAAAAAGAUAAUAAAGAAAGAUGAGUAAAAAAACACCUACUCUAUGGAAGACAGUAAACGAAAAUGCUGAAAUAAGACCAAAUUGAAUUUAUAAAUAAAUUCAUUGAAAGGAAACCUAAAAAAGAAUUAUUCGUAAUUUUUUUAAUCAAAUCAUCUAUAUAUUAUAUGAAUUAUAAUUUACAAUAUUUUCUCAAAUAGUUAUCACUUAAUUAUUUAAAAAAAUUACUUAUUUAUAAAAAGGUAAGAGUUCCUAAUAUUUAAUACUUUAAAAUUAGAAUUAUUCUUCUCAAAUUUUUCAUUAAUAAGCUCUACAAUAAAUAAAAUAUCUAAUUUUAAAGAUUAUUUUUUAUACAUUUUAAUUUAGGAGUCAUUUUCCUCUCAUCAUUCUAGAUGUACUAAAUUCUAAUUGUAAUUUAAAGUAAUCAUGACAUAAUCCAUAAAGAUGCACGCAAUAUGACUUUUUUGGAUAGACAACAAACAGUAACCAAAUUCUAAUUUACUACUACUCCAUUAGUUAUGUGUGGAAUGAAUUCUUUUAAUCUUUUUCUAAUUUAACAAAAAUAAGUAGGCUAUUUUGGAUAAGAAUUGUACCUAAGAUAAAAAGAAGUUUUGCAAGUAAACACCAACUUUUUAAUGUCUUAGAGCUUGUUUGAUCAAACUUUUAAAAGUUUUUUUAAAAAAAAAAUAAAAAAUAGAGUACUUACUUUUAAAAAAAAAUGUUUGAAGAAGUUUUCAAGAAAGUAGAAGUGUUUCUAUGGAAUAUGUAGUAGUAGAAGUUGUUUUCAUAAGCUAAAAAAAGAUAUUUUUAUUAAAAAUAUUCACAAGUGAAUUUGAAAAGAGUAGAAUGUACAGAAACUUUAUCUUUGUCUUUGUAAUGGAGACUUGUUACUGAUACACUAUUGAUUUUAUUUUUUUAUACAAAAAUAUUUUUUAAAAUAUAUAUUUUAAAAUAAAAUAAUUUUUAAAAAUUGGACAAACAAAUUAAUAAUAUUUCAUCAAGAUUAUUAUUGAUGACUCCAUACUUUAUUUCGAAGAUUAUAUUGAUUAAUUUGUUUGUCUUUGACUGUGGUCAGUGAUUAUUUAACAUUAUUUUCUUCUUUUAUGUUUGUGUUUAAUACACAUUUAAUAAAUUAAUAGUGAAAUAUUUUUAUUGUAUUGAAGAGAGAAUAAUAACUCCCUAAUUCUUUACGAUACGUAUAUUGAAAAACAAAUAAGGCAGAAAGAAUUGUGCAAUUGAUACAACAUUUAGAGGAAUAUUAUUUACUUCUUUUAUUCUUCUAAGAUAUAUUUUACAAUGAAUAAAAUUAUAAUUUGUUUACUUUAAUACUAUUUAGAAUAUUGAAUAUCAAUUAAAAGUUUGGUUAUUAAAUUCUUAUUUACUAAAAUAUGUAAAAAAUUCCAUGAAGUACUAAUAUUUAAAAUUUUAAAAAUCAACUAAAACUCUACCUUAUAUAAAUUGUAUUAAAGUAAAAUUUAAUUUAUAUAUAUGAUAAUUAAAUUGCUUAACAUGAUGAACAAUGGUUAUAUGAGAUCAGUGUCUCUUAGAAUACAUAAAAUAUAUUCAAGGAAACUAGAUGAAGCACAUAAAUUGUUUCAAUGUGGAACAACUAAAAUAGCUUUAAAUUUUAAAAUAUCAUAAAACAUCAUUGAAAAUUAUUAGUUGAUUGACAAAAAGAAGAAUAAAAAUAAAUUUAAGUAAAACUAACUUAGUACAUCACUUAUCAAUUAUCCCCAACUUUUUAACCAUAUGAAUGGUUUUAAAAAAUUAAAUCUAAUAAAGUAUAUUUUUCAGCUUUAUCUUUAUAUGCAUGUAACAUAAAAAUAAUUUUUAAAAUUAAAGAGAACAAAAAUAAAGAUGAAAAAAAAUAGAAUAAAAAUUAAGUAAAAUUAAUCUAGCACAUCACUUACCAGUUACCUCCAAUUUUCAAUCAUAUGGAUGGUUUAAAAAAAUUAAAUUAAAUAAAAUAUAUUUUAUAGCUUUAUCUUUAUAUGCAUGUAACAUAAAUAAAUAUUUUCAUUCAAAGACAAAUUGGAGAAAAAUAAAGUAAUUAAAAUAUAGUAAAAACAAUAUUCACUGAGGGAUUGGGGGGGGGGGGGGGGGAUAAAAUAAUAUAAUAAAGUUAUUAGACAAUACACAUAGUACAAUUUAUAAAUUUUAAACGAAAGAAGUGAGUGGACAGUGAAAUAAAAAUUUAAAUUAUUUUGAUAAUAUGAAAUCUUUAAAUUGUAAAUAAUAUAAUAACAAAAAAUAUGAAACAUAAAAUCAUUUGGCAAUUGUAUGAUGUUUUUACUCAUAUAAAUUGUCUAGAGGUGGAAGACCACGUUGGAAAGGAGGGGGAUGUGGGGGGUGAAGGUGUGGAAAUGUCAACACAAUAUCUUUAAAUUGUGAAUAUAUAAUAAAGAAAAAUCUUAAGCAUAAAAUUCUUUUUUACAAUUACGUGAUUGUUCUUUCGUAUGAAUUUGGUUAGAGGUCGGAUGAUUAGCGUGGGGAAGGGUGGAGGCUUUGGGGGUUCGGGUAAGGGUUCAAAUUAUCUCAAAAGGAUGGUUUUAGGCACCUUUUAAGGUCCACAAGGGUGGUUCCCGACCGAAUUCAUACUUUACAUGGGGAUUCUAUGCGAUCAAAUAAAGUCUCUUAUUUUAUCAUUAAUUUAAUAUUUAGCUAAGCAAUAAAAUAAUUAAUAAGCAAAUGCAUGUCAUUUGUUAAUUCUAAUUGUCGAUUAUCUAGGUGAUAAAGCUAAAUAAAACAUGUAAAUAAGACAAGCGAGGAGAAAGAAGGCAAGACAAUUCAUGAUAAAGGGGACUGCUCAUGUAAUAAACCAAUUACCCCAAAUAAACAUGUAAAGUGAAUAAAAAGACUAAAAAAAAACGAAAUCGUCUAAGCCAAACAAAGAGAUGUUUUGGUUUUGUUCGGAUCAAAAACCCAACUUGUCAAUCAUCAUUCGACCCAAGGGCCAAACUCUUAAACAAGUAAUAAUGUCAUUAGCCUCGCCUUUAAUAUUUGUUGGGAUAAACAUUUCCGAAUGACUACCUGUCCCACCCCACCUAGGCUGAAUGUCAAGUCUAAAGGUGUUCUAUGACAAGGACAAAACUAACGUUUUUAGUAAUAAUUAUCAUCCCAACUAUCGUCUAAGAGGCAUUGGACUUUGUUAUUUUGGAUUUGUGUUCUAGACUAAAAGAAAUCUAUGUUGCCUAGGACUUGAAGCGCGAACAUAUUGGACAACAAGUAGCACGUAAUAAUCUCAAGUUAGCCUCUUGAUUAAUUAACGUUUAUUAAUGUGAUAGCAUGCGAAGAUAAGUAAUUAUAUAUUAUGUCAUUAACCUAUAGGCAUGAUGUCUAAUGUUCAAUCAAGUGGUGCCAAAGGACAACUGUGAUUCGUGUAUGCAACAAUAUAAUGUGCUCAUGAGGGGUGUCAAAAGUGUGGUAAAUGUGUCAAGAAAAUGUGCUUGUGAAUUAAGUGUCAUAAGCUAUAAUGAGAAUACAAGAAACUAGUAAAAUAUUAAAGGAUGCGUUAAAAUGUUAGGAAUGCACUUAAAUGCAGAGAACAAAUUAACAUAUAGAAAAUGUAGAGUAUUACUAGUAUUUUAGCAUGCUGGAAGUCAACUAAACAUGCUGAAAAAGUUAAACAUGCUGAAAAAUUAAUUAAUCAUGCUGAAAGUUACUUAAACAUGCUGGAAAGUUACUUAAACAUGCUGAAAAUAACGUUAAGACGCAGUAUUUUCAUGUUGAUAUGCUGAAAACAUGCCAAGAAUGUCUAAAAUCUAAUAUUUUAAUAUGGUAUAAAUGUAGGGAACUAGCAUUUUAAACAUGCUGAAAUCAGUAUAAGUGCUGAAAUUUAUUUAGAUGCGCAGAAAAAUCAUUUAAACAUGCUGAAAUUUAAUCUAAAAUUGCUGAACUAGAUGUUAGACAUGCUGAAACUUUGAUGUUAACAUGCUCAAAUUGUUUUAAUAUGCCUAAAACGGUGUCGACACGCCUAAAAAUGUAAAGACGUACUAAAUAAAUCGUGCUUAACAUGCAAAAAUUAAUGUAAUAAGCUAACGUAUCGAAAAUAUUAUCAUGCCUUAAUUUAAUGUGGAUAUGUUAAAAAGGUAUUAGCAUGCUUAGUUUCAAAUCAAUAUGCUUAACAUGCAGAGAUACGUCAACAUGCCUAAUGUCAAAUUAAUAAGCUUAAUAUCAAUUAAUAUGAUACGUCAAUUUUAGAUGGAUAAGAGUAAUUAAUAAAUCGUAGCAAGAUUCAUAUUAAUAGACCCAAAUUUUGUGCCUAGAUGAUUCAAAUAACACGUCUUGCAUGUAAUCCUAGGUUGUGCCUACCUAUACCGUUCAUAGAGCACAUAAUCCUUGCCCCCCAAAGCAGUCCCCAAAUAAUAUUAUUACAUCAAUAGGAAAAAUAUUUUAGAAUAAUAUUACAGACCAAAUAAAAAAAAAAAAAAAAACUAGUUAAAAAGAAUACAUAGUUUAACUAUUCCGGGGACUCUUUGGAACUUGUAAGUGUCUAUUUAACCUGCGAAACAAAUUAUAAUGGCAAGCAGACAGGAACACAUAAUAGCAAACAUCAAAAUAUUCCUAAAGACAUGCUUUCUAAAGAUUUUACAACACGAUGCAAUCAAGAUAAAUAGAGGAUGAAAAAUUACAUCGUUCAAGAACUCACCAGUGAACAGCAUUAAAGAGAGAAUAAGAAUAAUAGAAGCCAAAAGCCAAGUAUACGUAAUAGCGAGAUAUGCAAGAUGUUAACAGCAGCCUCUAAAGAGAAACAAAAAGCACUUAAAAAUAUUUAAUUGCCUUUGUAAAAAGUAGCCAAUGAUUUUUGUUAAGAGUAGUAGUAGUAAUUGUAAUUGUGAGACUUGAGAACUUUUCGCUGUCCCCUUUUGUGAAUGAAGGGAUGGGUUUAUAUAGUAUCAAAGAAAUCAGUCAGCUGAGACAAAACAGGAAAAUAAAUAUUCCACCCCUUUAAUUACUGAAGUGAUAUUAUGUAAAAUUAGUCGGGGGUAAAAAUAAGAAAGAGGAGAAAUCAAUCACCCAUAAUUUCCUUAAAAGAAGGCUUGCUCAAUCAAUUGUUUCAUGUUUCCAUAUAUAGGUGGGUAAGAAAAGAUACUAAUUUGAAAGAGGAAAAAUAAUAACAGAAACACGUAUCAUUUACCAUAGAUACUCAAAUUAAUUAAAAGCCAUCCGUUAAUUCUGCUAAAAGCCCAGAAUCUAUUGUCAAUUAGGAACAAACACAAUUAAUAUUUUAUCAUAAACACUGAUUCAAAUAUAAUCCAUGUAUAGCACCUUUCAAUAACAAUCAACAGUCAGCAAUCACAUUGAUUAUCAAAAUUGAGGGUUUUCGCACAUAAUAGUCCAAUGAUAAACAAGUAACUAGACGAAUUAACUCACACUGACAGUCAGAUAUCAUAAACCUUAGGCAAUUUGGGUGAUGAAAAGAACAUGCAAAUCAAAUCGAUAACAAACAUGCCAUUACUAAAACAAACCGUAUAAUAGUCAGAUCUCGGGGGGUGUUAUUUUUGUUGGUGGUGACACCGAAAAUGAAGGAGGUUGCGGAUUUGGAGCGGCGCGAGAAAGAGGCAGAGAAAGGAGGUUGAAUCACAACUGGUGGAGGUGGCAGAUCUGGGGGCGGUGCUGGAGUGGUGGCUCCGAUCGGCGAUGGGAGGCUGGUCGUUCUUGUUUUCGCCAGAGAGGACGGUGCCGGGGCUGGUUUCAUGGCGGCAGUAUGGAGGUUUUUGUGGUCGAUUGGCGACGGAGAGAUCGAAGGAGAGGGGGAGAUCGAGAUUUGGAAGGAUUUUGUAGAGAGAGAGGGGGCAAGGAGAAGGGCUCACUGGCGAUGAGACAGUGGCGGCACCAUCACCAGCAGCAAUGGAUGUCGAUGAUGAUGAGAAGAAAGAAGGGGAGAUAGAGAGAGAGGAGUUAGAGAGAUGAGAGGGGCGGAUGGUUUUUUUGGGGGGAAUUAUGGUUAGGUUUAGGUUUUGUUGUUGUUUUAAAAAGGAAGGUAAAGGAGGUUUGAUCUCAUCCAUCAGAUCAGUUUUUGAUCAACGGCUGGGAUUUAAAGAUUGAAAAUUUGACCAACAUUGAGUACCAUUUAAAAU